CAGAGUUUAAUUAUGAGAAUUACGAACUUAUGCAGUGACAGAGAAGUCAGUUUAUCACACAUGUCUCUGCUAUAAGCGGAUUCAUGCACCUUCCCUGGAAUAAGACAAGGUCUUCCGAAAAUGUUCCAUCUGGAAGGAAGCAGGAAAGGUGAGCUGUAGCUUCUAUCAUAUCACAGAUUUGUUCAGCAGAAAUCUGCAGAUUUUAUCUGUAAGUCUGGGAUUACUCUACGAUCCCUCCCCCCGCCCCAGUUAAAUGCCUGAAAAACAUUGCUCAUCUUUUAUUUAACAUUAAAUAAUCCUCGUUACUUAUUUAUGGGAAUUGUGGCUAUUAUCAGCUUUGACAAUGUUAUCUAUAGAACAAAAUGUUUUAGAAAUAAGCCUGUGUAAUAUAACCAAACUGUUUUUUUUAAGCUUGCUAAUAUUGAAUCAUGUUUAAACUGGGUCCUGCAAUGAUGAUAGCACCCAGAAAAAUUUCUCUUAAGCCUCAGAGCAUUCUGCUAAAUAAAAAAAACGAUUUCAAAACUAAUCCAUUUUCGAAUACUAUUAGGUGAUUUCAUAAAACCCCGAGUCCUAAUUUCACUACAAAUGUUAGUGCUUGGACAUGAUAUAAUGCUCUGUUUCCUGUUGGGCUAUUCUUAGAGCGAGGGAACCAAGUUUCCCAGACUUCCCCAGAAAUAGGCUUCUUCCCAAAAAGAAGAGCUGACAACGAGGAAUAUUAAUGUCCCAAAAAGCUAACUCCUACUCUGCAAAAUAAAUAGAAAUAGUUCAACCAUCUGCAGUAGUGUCAGUAGAGUUAGCAAACUUAUAUAAUGUCUAGAGUCGAGAAGAUAAAGAAAUGAUAAGUCAUCCUAUAAGCAAUAUAAUUCUUUGUGACAUGUACGGUAUUUCAGAAAUUACAUGUAGACUAAACAUAGUUUUGAUACCUACAAGAGAAAUUACCCAAUUUUAGCAUGACUCCUCUGAGAUGAAAUGUCUGGUUUGAUCCCCUCACACCUUCAUAUUCCAGGAUGACGGAUUGGUGCUGUUAACUUUUUUUUUCCUUCUAAGUUGCACAGUGAGAGCUGACUGACAAACAGCAAAUGUCAUCUGCCUCCUCCUCACCCUGUAACCAGAAGGUUGGGGUUAAAAGUGGGAGGGAAGAACAAGAGAUGAAUAACUGAGAGCACUAGAAAUUUGGCAGCAUCUGAAGUCUGUAUGUACAAUAAAGUGCUGAAUGACACAUUAAGGCGGUGCACCUUAAUUGUAACUUAAACUUGGUAAAUUAUAAGAUAAAUGUAUUUUAGAAAUUAAGUCCACCCCAUAUUGAUAUGUUGCAUUAUCCUGGAGUGACCCAGGGCAACCAAAUGUUCUUGCAGUCUGUCCUUGGCUCCUUUUGCAUUAUACAAGUUCCUGAGCUAAAUUUGCUAAGUUAACAUCUGAGCUGUAAAUAAAGAUCCUCGAAGCCUACUGUGCUUUCCUUGUUCUAAGAGUCCCUUCACAGUAUGGCUGCAAUUCAACUAAGUACUUAAUAUGUGCUUAAAUCCCACUUAAAUCAAUGGGAUUUAAACAUUUGCUUAAAUGCUUUGCUGAAUCUGGCCUAAUAACUGCCUAUGUUAGAGAUCAAAAUGUAAUUUAUACUGCUGUGAUUUCUUUUCUAGUGUUAUAUAUGAGACCCCAAACUACAUUUCACUGUAGCCUUGCUCAACCGAAGCUGGAACUGUUUAGAGAGAAAGUGUUUUAAUUAUUUUGGGCAUCAGCUGCUGUAAACUCCUGAUAAAAGAGGUCAAACUCUGUGGAGAAGGCUGAUUGCUUUUCAUGCAGUAUCAUUUUGAAGAUUAGUUAUGUGCAUUUUUCCUUCUUCAGUAAUGUUUGCAGUUCCUGGUAAAUGUGGGAACACAGAGUUUUUACAGAAUGUAGAUACAUGAAAGUAUUUGAGGAGGAGGAGAGUUACAAGCUUUUUCUUAUUUAGCUGAUUUGUUGGGAAUCCUGCUUUUUCACAAACUCAGCUAGCAGCAGCCGGGAAGGCAGUCAUCUGUAGCAGAUGGGGUGGCAAGAAAGGAAGUCACCAAAAGGGUCAUCAAGAAUCCCCAAUUCGUUUCAUGUCUAGAAAAAAUAGGUCAAAAAUAUUUCAGCUGUAUAUAUGACUAUAUGUAUAUUUUCUAAUAUAAUUUAGUGAUGUGUUCUUCCAUGCCCGAAGAGAUUGCAUUGGUCUUAUCCCUUUUUUUGGAGAGGACUGAGGAUGGAUGGUGGGAAAGUGAGGACUCUUCCUGACUUUUCCUAUCAUACAAGCUCCCUUCUUCUAGUGGAAAUCAGCCAAAAGACAGCUCAUAUGCCAAGAAAGCCCAGUCUAAGAGAGGAGUGGAAAAUAGCAGAUGCUUAAAUUUCUCUUGGAUUUUCUCAAAGCUGUUAAUACUGGUUUGCUGCUUAAUUAGCCAAAGAAGGGAUGGACUGUGCUUCGCUAUUUCACAUACAGAUACUUCUUUGAUCUUAUGAGUUAGCCGCCUCCGGGACAUUAUGGUCUAUGUAUGGGAAGAGCUGAAUGUUGAUUUCUUACUUAAACACCACUAAUAGGAGAUAAUUGCUGUAAAGCACUCCUCACACCCACAAUGCAGCUACCCUGCCAGAAUUUCCUCAAGAUAAGGAUUUUUAAGACAGCUUUGUCUGGAAGUUUUUUUAGGAGUCUGGAAAGAAAUGAUUGUCCGUGGUUACUAUACUAGGUUUAGUGAAACCAAAGAGUCUAUUUUGAUUGCCACUUAGCUC
ensembl:lncRNA